rnacentral:rRNA from 1 species
GAUGAACGCUGGCAGCGUGCUUAACACAUGCAAGUCGAACGGAAAGGCUCCUGCUUGCAGGGGUACUCGAGUGGCGAACGGGUGAGUAACACGUGGGUGAUCUGCCCUGCACUUCGGGAUAAGCCUGGGAAACUGGGUCUAAUACCGGAUAGGACGAUGGUUUGGAUGCCAUUGUGGAAAGUUUUUCGGUGUGGGAUGAGCUCGCGGCCCAUCAGCUUGUUGGUGGGGUAAUGGCCUACCAAGGCGUCGACGGGUAGCCGGCCUGAGAGGGUGUACGGCCACAUUGGGACUGAGAUACGGCCCAGACUCCUACGGGAGGCAGCAGUGGGGAAUAUUGCACAAUGGGCGCAAGCCUGAUGCAGCGACGCCGCGUGGGGGAUGACGGCCUUCGGGUUGUAAACUCCUUUCGCUAGGGACGAAGCGCAAGUGACGGUACCUGGAGAAGAAGCACCGGCUAACUACGUG